CUAAAUGACUCUCGGCAACGGAUAUCUCGGCUCUCACAACGAUGAAGAACGUAGCGAAAUGCGAUACUUGGUGUGAAUUGCAGAAUCCCGUGAACCAUCGAGUCUUUGAACGCAAGUUGCGCCCGAAGCCUCCUGGUUGAGGGCACGCCUGCCUGGGCGUCACACAU
rnacentral:rRNA from 1 species